rnacentral:rRNA from 1 species
GACGAACGCUGGCGGCGUGCUUAACACAUGCAAGUCGAACGGAAAGGCCCUUCGGGGUCCUCGAGUGGCGAACGGGUGAGUAACACGUGGGUGAUCUGCCCUGCACUUUGGGAUAAGCCUGGGAAACUGGGCCUAAUACCGAAUAGGACCACGCGCUUCAUGGUGUGUGGUGGAAAGCUUUUGCGGUGUGGGAUGGGCCCGCGGCCUAUCAGCUUGUUGGUGGGGUAAUGGCCUACCAAGGCGACGACGGGUAGCCGGCCUGAGAGGGUGACCGGCCACACUGGGACUGAGAUACGGCCCAGACUCCUACGGGAGGCAGCAGUGGGGAAUAUUGCACAAUGGGCGCAAGCCUGAUGCAGCGACGCCGCGUGAGGGAUGACGGCCUUCGGGUUGUAAACCUCUUUCAAUAGGGACGAAGCGCAAGUGACGGUACCUAUAGAAGAAGCACCGGCCAACUACGUG